CCCUUAGAUGUUCUGGGCUGCACGCGCGCUACACUGAUGCGCUCAACGAGUUUUAACCUUGCCUGGAAAGGUUGGGUAAUCUUUUUAAAACGCAUCGUGAUGGGGAUAGAUUAUUGCAAUUAUUAAUCUUCAACGAGGAAUUCCUAGUAAGCGCGAGUCAUCAGCUCGUGCUGAUUACGUCCCUGCCCUUUGUACACACCGCCCGUCGCACCUACCGAUUGAAUGGUCCGGUGAAAUCUCGGGACGGCGGCUUGGUCGCUUGCGUCCGACUGCUGAAACUUGAUUAAACCAUAUCAUUUAGAGGAAGGUGAAGUCGUAACA
rnacentral:rRNA from 1 species